rnacentral:misc_RNA from 1 species
UUGUGGAGGAGGACGCCGAAGGUGGGGCUAAUGACUGGGGUGAAGUCGUAACAAGGUAGCCGUACCGGAAGGUGCGGCUGGAUCACCUCCUAACAGGGAGACAACAAAAUGUUUAAUAUUAUUAUUUUGUCACCUUAGGUCGAUCGGUAUCUCACGUUUUUAAUUUAUUAAGAAUUUCAUUUCCUAAGUUUUUCUAGGUCACACCCAUUAUUUUUCCUGGGCCAUUAGCUCAGGUGGUUAGAGCGCACCCCUGAUAAGGGUGAGGUCCCUGGUUCAAGUCCAGGAUGGCCCAUAUCUCUAUGUUGGGGGUAUAGCUCAGUUGGUAGAGCGCCUGCUUUGCAAGCAGGAUGUCAGCGGUUCGAGUCCGCUUACCUCCACUGAUUACCACCUCUUCCAUAACUGGUAGAAAGGAAAUGUUUUGAGUUGUGAUCAAAUUCUGAACGAAUCUAGCUUCCUAAUGAAAUCAUUAAGAUGCUGGACUCAUUGAAUUAAUUUCAUUGUUUUCAGAGAACCUUGACAACUGCAUAGAUUAUUUUAAAGACAAUAAGCAUCUUUAAUGAUGCAGAUUUAUUAUUUGUGCGAAUGCAUUAAUAACAAUUCUAUUAAGCUGAUGCUUCUAUUAAUGAAGUUAUUGGUCAAGCUACAA